ACGUAAACGCACUUGAGCGAUGUGACUACGCAUAAGGGUGGCUUUAUAAAAAAUCCUCCGGGGAUCGAUGCUGUUGUUGCCAUGGAUAUGGUAAUCACCGUUUAAACAUGUCUGCGAGUGUUUUUCACUAUGGCGGCGGCAGUUUCUGUGUCACCAUAACUUUUCAACUAUCUCUUCCCGCCAUUAUUUCAAAAUCAAAUGGCAACACGUUCUUCCCAGCCUGUGUGUUUGCAUCUAUUAAACUGUACAGUAUUUUGGCAUGGUUCACUCAGAUUAAAGUGACAAAGGAUUAAACGCAAAUCGACAGAUAUGCAAAGUAACAUGGUCGAAGUAUCGGCCCACCUUCUUGAAAAUUCACGUAACCCUGUGUUGGAUAAACAAUAUCGAUCUUGUAAGAUCAAGACCUUGCAAGAUUGACAAGAGAAGGCGAAAAAUACCGGGCCGUCCCCUCUUACUUUCAACCGACGUUCCACACGACGAUAAAGUAGCAGAUAGUGCGCAGAAGAGGAGAGGCGGGGCUCAGCAUUAUUCGUUCUACGUUGCGAGAACAGCACGACCUUGAACGAUGUUAAGAGAAUGCGAAAACCCGCGAGAUCGAACACGGCCAAACAUUUCAUUCCACCUCGAGAAAGACCCUGUUGCGCCUCAUGUUUAUGUUUCUCGAUCCGUGCAACUAGGAAAAGGAUGAUCUAAUUUAUUUGAAACAGAUUCUAAAAGCAUCUUUGAAGAUUCGAAAGUCGAAUUUUGAAGAUGAAAUCGCAAAAAUAUUCUUUUGAAAUUCUUUAAUGAUUAAUGGAAUUUUCUUUUAUUCUUUAAUAGCAAUAGAUUCGAAUAUAAUAUUUUUACUUGAGUAUAAAAUAGAUGAGUAUGAAAUAGAUAAUAUAUUGGAUAGAAAGAUAGAAGCUUUUUAAAAAUAUUUCACAAUAAAUAUAUAAAAUGUAACAAUUAAUAUUCUUUAAGUAUUUGAACAUUGAUAGUACUAAUAAUUGAAAAAUAAUACAUAUUCAAUUCAAAAAUAAUGAAAAAGAAAAUUUAAAUGAGAUUAAUUGACGAAACAUUAAAUUUGAAAAUUCCUCUCACACAAAA